CUUUUAUGUGCUAACAUGAAAAGGAAUUACAGGUGACUUUACAAUCUCCAGACACAGACAUUUCUCUCAGAAGUGGAGUGAAGGAAGGAGAACCACAAGCUAAAGGCAAUGAAAAGAGGAAAAGUUGACACUUUGAGAAGUUAUGACGAACUUGUCGAGAAUGCCAAUUGACAAAGGCAGGUAAGGGAAUACUUGGAAACACAGAACAAGAACAGUUCUGAAGGGCAUGAUGAUCUGCUUCCUAGUGUGUUAAGGGAAUUGGCGGGCAUGUUUAUUGACUCUUCCAAUUAGUUUUAAAGAAACCUGAAGAAAUGGACAGAGAUGGAGAGAAGACAACCAGAUGUGAUUCUGCCCUUCCAGAAGCAGAGAAGCUUCUCUCAUCCCAUGUGAUCGAUGCCAGGCCUGGGGAAGACUGUCUGUAUAGCAGUUAAUGGAUUUUCAACAUACAAAUCACAGAAGAAACAAGGGUAUAUUUAGCAAAUCUAAAAACUCUUCAAUAAACUGUAUUGCUUUUCAUUUUCACUGUACAGUCCAUGAAGCCAGUGUAUGGUAAGAAGGCCGUGGUAAGGAUACAGCGGUGUACUCCCAGGAACGUUUGUGUGAUGGGGAUAUUAUGUCUGAAAGGACAGGGCAUCUGGGAGGAUGAACUGCCCGUAGCUCUCAAUUGUCUGGGUAAUGAAGCAUUGGAAAGCAAAGGCAAGGGAAACACUUUGAUAAUCAAAAAUGAUUCUUCUUUUAGUGAUCGUAUUAGUUGACCAGUGAGGACAAGUGUGAAGGUGCGAGUUGCAUUUUACCCUCUCCAGCACUUGUGGCCCACUUCUGACGAGCACGUGGAUGCAGAAAGCGGGAACCCUGACAAUUUCUGGAGACCAGCCCGUUAACCUGGAAGAUGUAAAAUUUCAAAAUUUCACAGCGUGAAGGAGGAAGGUUGAAGAUUAGUGAGGCUCUCAAAUUUCUUGAGGCCCUACAGAGAAUCAGUAGAAGAACUGAUGCGACGCUGAGAGGCUCUAGCAAGUUUCCUAAUCUCGAGCUCGAGGGUGUGUGCUGGGCGUGUGGUGCUUGCUCAUGAUGCUGGCAGUGGUCAUGCUUUAUUAGCCCAAAGCCUGUUAGAGCCAGAAGGGGCCUUAUGAAUCAUCCAGCCUGGCCUUCCUCCUUUACACUGACGCCCACAGAGGUCUAAUAAUGCAUUCGAGGUCCCAUUCCUAGUAAGUAGCAAGGGAUACGGGUCUUCUACUUCCGGUGUUCCUUCCACUCAUGUGCUGUGCCGAGAUGUUCAGAAAUUCCAGUAAGGUACAGAAUCAAGUUCCUGCCCCGCCAGGAGAGCCCCCUGAGGAUAUUACAGUGUGUACACAAGUUCAUCCAGCAGGAGGUGGUUGACGUGUGUGAAAGUCCGUGCACGUUAUGUUGGUUGUGCAUCGGUAAUGGAACAUUAUCAAUAAUGGUUAUGUUUUCCAAUCCCACUGGGCAUUUUUAUUAUUGUAGCAAAAUUAGCCAGUGAACUGGUGGUGGUAUUAAUAGAGCCAUUCUAAAGCAUAGUGAAGAUAGUGCUGGUGUCUCGCGCGCUGCUGAAUCGGUAGAACGUAAAAUAGAGGCUCUGGAGGGGAGCAUCUGGUCAUUGGUCCCGGCCUGGGCAGUGAUGCUUGCUGGAGCUGGACGCAGCCAGAGGGUGGAGUGGGGGAGGCUGGCUCUUGGCAGCUGCCCGCUUUUCCCAAGGCAGAGGGUGUAAGGCAAGUGCCUUUUACAGAGAUGCUCACCAGCAGUUCCACCCAUGGAAUACUAUGUAGCCAGUAAAAAUCCUGUUGUAGUAGAAAAAUCUCUCUUGAUAGGGGAAAAUGUCAUCUGUUCGUGAAAAGUAAUAACCUUCAUAGCAGUGUGCACAGAAUGACAUCAUUUUUGUAAAAAACUAUAGUGUGUGCGUGUGUAUUAAUAUGGACCCACGUACACCUUAAUGAUGAAAUGAUAAAAUGGUUAUUUCCGGUGUGAGUUUUUUUUCUUUGUGUUCUUCUGUAUUUUUUACUUUCCUGCCUUAUACGUGUAUUACUUUUGUAACUAGAAAAAAAUAAAUCUUACUUCUUUUUCUCCAAAAAGAUUGUUUGUAUGUUGUGAAACUGGGGGUACUUUGAAGGAACUAAUUCUGAACUUAGUACGUUACAUAGAAUUUCUUGAUGUU